ACGGCGAAUUGUAGUUUCGAGAAGUACUUUCAAGGCGCGUCGAGUUUGCCUAAGUUGCUUGGAACAGCACGUCAGAGAGGGUGACAACCCCGUACGUGGCAAUGCUCGAGCGUUCGCGAUGUGCUUUCGAAGAGUCGGGUUGUUUGGGAAUGCAGCCCAAAACGGGUGGUAAACUCCAUCUAAAGCUAAAUACGGGCACGAGACCGAUAGCGAACAAGUACCGUGAGGGAAAGAUGAAAAGGACUUUGAAAAGAGAGUUAAAAAGUACGUGAAACCGUUGAAAGGGAAGCGAAUGGAGUUAGCAAUUCGCCCUGUCAGACUCAGCCGCUCGCGAGCAGCGACGUGCGCGUUCUCGAUCCCUAUAGACGAGACGCGUGCGGGUGCAACUUGCGGACGGCGCACUUCUGGCGGGCGAGCGUCAGCGUCGGUUGUCGACGGGCGAGAAGGUCGCGAGGAAGGUGGACCGGCCUAACGGCCGGUUGUUAAAGCCUCGCGCUCGCACGGCCCGACGGCGACCGUGGCUUGUGAAGGCGACGCGUGCCUGGCUGGCGACUCGCUCGAUCGGUCCGGCAUGUCGA
rnacentral:rRNA from 1 species